CGCAUCUGUGCAUGCAGCAUAUCAAUAAGCGGAGGAAAAGAAACUAACAAGGAUUCCCCUAGUAACGGCGAGUGAAGCGGGAAGAGCUCAAAUUUGAAAUCUUAAGGGGUUUCCCUUUACGAAUUGUAGUUUAAGAGAAGUGUUUUCUGUUGAGGUUUUGGUAAAAGUUCUUUGGAAUAGGACAUCAUAGAGGGUGAGAAUCCCGUAUUUGACCUUUACUUUCAACUUUGUGAUACACUUUCAAAGAGUCGGAUUGUUUGGGAAUGCAGUCCAAAAUGGGUGGUAAAUUUCAUCUAAAGCUAAAUAUUGGCGAGAGACCGAUAGCGAACAAGUACCGUGAGGGAAAGAUGAAAAGAACUUUGAAAAGAGAGUUAAACAGUACGUGAAAUUGUCAAAAGGGAAGCGUUUGACACCAGUGUUGUUUUUCUGAAAAUCAAUUAAAGAACUGUUUAUGCUAAGUUGUUUAGACUUUAUCAGCUAACUGUUUAGUUUUGAGCUUUUCUUUAAUGCACUUUUCAGUUAACAAGUCAACAUCAAUUUCUUUUGCUGUAAAAAAGCUUGAGGAAGGUGGCUUGAGAUUCGUCUUAAGUGUUUAUAGCCUCUUGCCUAUGCAGUCGGAGAGAUUGAGGUCUGCAGCGUAGAUCCUUCGGGGCUAAAUGCAUUUGUGCUAAGUUAUAACAUUUUAUAGACAACUUGUUGACUAUGAUUUGUCUUGUAGCUUACUCGCUUAUGUUAUUUUACCUACGCUUAGGAUGUUGAACGCGCACAGAGUCUC
rnacentral:rRNA from 1 species